AGAGUUUGAUCCUGGCUCAGAACGAACGCUGGCGGCAGGCCUAACACAUGCAAGUCGAGCGCUACCUUCGGGUGGAGCGGCGGACGGGUUAGUAACGCGUGGGAAUAUACCCAGUUCUAAGGAAUAGCCACUGGAAACGGUGAGUAAUACCUUAUACGCCCUUCGGGGGAAAGAUUUAUCGGAAUUGGAUUAGCCCGCGUUAGAUUAGAUAGUUGGUGGGGUAAUGGCCUACCAAGUCUACGAUCUAUAGCUGGUUUGAGAGGAUGAUCAGCAACACUGGGACUGAGACGCGGCCCAGACUCCUACGGGAGGCAGCAGUGGGGAAUCUUAGACAAUGGGCGAAAGCCUGAUCUAGCCAUGCCGCGUGAGUGAUGAAGGCCCUAGGGUCGUAAAGCUCUUUCAACUGUGAAGAUAAUGACGGUAGCAGUAGAAGAAACCCCGGCUAACUCCGUGCCAGCAGCCGCG
rnacentral:rRNA from 1 species